AUUGAACGCUGGCGGCAGGCUUAACACAUGCAAGUCGAGCGGAGUGAUGGUGCUUGCACUAUCACUUAGCGGCGGACGGGUGAGUAAUGCUUAGGAAUCUGCCUAUUAGUGGGGGACAACAUCUCGAAAGGGAUGCUAAUACCGCAUACGUCCUACGGGAGAAAGCAGGGGAUCACUUGUGACCUUGCGCUAAUAGAUGAGCCUAAGUCGGAUUAGCUAGUUGGUGGGGUAAAGGCCUACCAAGGCGACGAUCUGUAGCGGGUCUGAGAGGAUGAACCGCCACACUGGGACCGAGACACGGCCCAGACUCCUACGGGAGGCAGCAGUGGGGAAUAUUGGACAAUGGGGGGAACCCUGAUCCAGCCAUGCCGCGUGUGUGAAGAAGGCCUUAUGGUUGUAAAGCACUUUAAGCGAGGAGGAGGCUCUUUUGGUUAAUACCCAAGAUGAGUGGAUGUUACUCGCAGAAUAAGCACCGGCUAACUCUGUGCCAGCCGCCGCCGUAA
rnacentral:rRNA from 1 species